CAUAAACAACAAUUAAAAUUUUAUCCCUAGAAAUUUUGAAUUGCUUUCUUGGUGGUUUCAUAUGCAAAGAAUAGUGAGGAACUAAAAACAUGAAUUUUCUGCCAGUUUCAAAUGCAGAGAAUGAUAAAGCAAAAACAGAAAUAGGAAAAACAGGUAUGUUAAAUUACCACAAAUUUUCCCACCUUAAUCGUAUCUCAAAUCACUCCUAAUGAGGGAUCAAAAUUCCUCGAUUUCCUUCCCCAAAAAUCGACUCCUAAACCUGAACAGAAAAUGGGUCUCAACCCGUCAGCUCUAACUUCUGUUUUGGCCAAAAAUCCUACCCAAAUUUUCCAUCAUUUUGUCGAUUCUUUUCUCCUAAAUUUAUUGUAUUACCCAACCUAACAUAUCAUGCAUUCGUCUCCAAAAAACCAUCAGAAAACUCUUAACUAAAAUAUCUCAAAAUUAUCACGGUUGGGACAUGCUUACCUACAGGUGUUGGGGUUCUGAUCAGAUUCUGUAAAAUUGAGGUUUUAUCCCUCUUAAGAGCAAUUUUUUGGUUGCUUCUUCUUCCUAAAUCAUCACAAGAGUUUGUUUAAUAUUUUGGAAAAUUUCACUAAAAAUGGUGAAGAAAAUGUGAACGGGUUACCUCAAGAAAGGACCCGUGCGAUAGGUCUGCUUCGUGCAACCUGUGUAGAAGGCUCUCGGGUUUGAGCCUUUUUCUCGCUCCUUUCCUUCUAGUUUUCCUCCCUUCUUUCCUCUAAAAUUUUCUUCACUCUUCCCGAGCUUCUCUUCUUUUCUCUUAAUUUUGCUCUCCCUCUAGUUCAAGCUCUCUCUAUCUCUGCACUCUUUUUUUGUUUUUCUGCUCACCUGACUCUCUCUGAUUUCUCUCUCUCUUCAAAUUCAAUUUUGUACAUUUUUUCUUCUCAAGCUGAAAGAUCGUAAUAUUUUCAUAAAAUGC
rnacentral:lncRNA from 1 species